UGGGGAAUAUUGCACAAUGGGCGCAAGCCUGAUGCAGCCAUGCCGCGUGUGUGAAGAAGGCCUUCGGGUUGUAAAGCACUUUCAGCGGGGAGGAAUGCGAUAAGGUUAAUAACCUUGUCGAUUGACGUUACCCGCAGAAGAAGCACCGGCUAACUCCGUGCCAGCAGCCGCGGUAAUACGGAGGGUGCAAGCGUUAAUCGGAAUUACUGGGCGUAAAGCGCACGCAGGCGGUUGAUUGAGUCAGAUGUGAAAUCCCCGGGCUUAACCCGAGAAUUGCAUCUGAUACUGGUCAGCUAGAGUCUUGUAGAGGGGGGUAGAAUUCCAUGUGUAGCGGUGAAAUGCGUAGAGAUGUGGAGGAAUACCGGUGGCGAAGGCGGCCCACUGGACAAAGACUGACGAUCAGGUGCGAAAGCGUGGGGAGCAAACAGG
rnacentral:rRNA from 1 species